AUUGUGGGAACAACUACUCUCCUCCCGCCAUACUGCCGAACCGUCGAGUGAAGUGACAACGUCUUGGUUCCGAAACCUUGUUAGACAUGGCUUCAGGUGUUGAUAUGAGUUUGGAAGAUAUUAUAAAAACUAAGAAAAUUAGACCUGGAAACAGAAGAGGUGGUGGACGUGGAGGAGGACGAGGUGGUGCCCGAGGAGGACGUGUAAGGGGUCGCGGAGGUUCUCGUCCAGUCCAACGUGGAGGACGCGCCGCCGGUGGUCGGGGUGGUAAUCGAAUGUUCAAUGCUCCCAGGAGGCCAGUUGUACGAUCGGGACCAACCAAACUGCUCAUUGCUAAUUUAGAUUUUGGAGUGUCAGAUUCAGAUAUCCAUGAGCUCUUUGCGGAAUUUGGUAACAUGAGAAAUGCUGCUGUUCACUAUGACAGAUCUGGAAGAAGUUUAGGGACAGCUCAUGUAUCAUUUGAUCGAAAUGCAGAUGCCUUGAAGGCUUUGAGGCAAUAUAAUGGCAUUCAUCUUGAUGGGCGCCCCAUGAAAAUAAGUAUUGAAGGUGGCACUGGUGGUGGAAUCCGAAAUGGUGUUGGGCCUGUAAAGAGACUAGGCCAAGGACCUCGACCUGUUGGUAACAAAGGUGGUAGAGGCAGAAUUGGUCGUGGCGGCAGAGGUGCGUCCAGAGGUGGACGUGGAAGAGGGGGGGCUGGAGGGCGGGGUGGCAAGGCAAAGGUGCCAACAGCUGAAGAAUUGGAUGCAGAACUAGAUGCUUAUGUCAACCAGGUCAACAAGUGAGGUAAUUGGAAGCAGAGACUGGAAGCAUUCAACUACAGCUGGUUUUGUCUCGCAAGGCCUGCCAAGCUACCACCACCUGCUACGUCUCCUGCUGAGUUUUCUAAGUUUUGUCGGGCACUGUAGUAAGAUUGAUAACAAAUGAGCCUUUCUAAUAGAUUUGAGUUUACACAAUCCUGCCUUCUAUGUGCAGCCUGCAAAGUAAUUUUUUGUUUCUGUACAAGUUUGGGGACAGAGAAAUUUAAUAAAUAAAAGAUAAAGCUUUAAUUUUGAUGUAUUUGGUUCUGGGAAUAUUGAGUUUUACGAACAGCAAUCUAAUACCCUGAAAAUGAUUUUUUUUUUUUUUUUUUUUUUUUUCCUCCAUCGUGUGGAGAAUUCCACACACCAGCAAUGGUGUUUAAUGGUCGAAAGGCUAUUGUGAAAACAACCUGUUUAAUCAUUGAAAAGCAUGAUAUUGCAGCAUUGGCUCAUGCAGUGAACUGCCACCAUAAAUCUAAAUUAUUGUAGGUUGCUAAAGGUAAUACUGUAUUGAGUAAUGGAUGAAAUGUAUUAAAGUACAUUGUUACAUUGAAGAAUCAUCAUCAUAGAAUGGAGAGUCCCUUUGGUAUCCCCAGAUAACACAAUGCCAAUACAUCACUUACAAAAGUCAAGGCCUUUGAAGUUGAUUUCAGGCCAAUGUUUGUACUUAAAAUGCCUAAUAUGUUAAACAUGUACUUGCUAAGAAGGCUGAAGCCUGCACAUGUAGUUUGGUUACACAUAACCUUUGGUGUGUGCUGGAUUAGCAUGUUUGGUGUAACUAAACAAGGCUAUAUAAUAUAUAUGUAAUAUAUAUAUAUAUAUAUAUGAUAAUACUGGUAGUAUCCAGUUUUCUGUUGGGCUCCAGAAGUGCCAGCCUUUAACAUAGUGCCACAUACCAUUUAUUCGUAUUGGGGUGUCUGUGCUGAAUUUGGGAUCGUGGUGAGCCAGGUCUCAAAGGAGUUCUGCGACGGUUGUGUGGAGACUGGUGUGGUGGCUUCCAACAACUGGACCAUCUGUCCCGCCGAUCUGAACUCUCCUGCCAGCCAUUACUUGAAGUGAAAGAAUCUUUAUGGAGGAGACAAUUGCUUAUUAGUGGAGUGUGCAAGCAUAAGAAGUUGGUCUGUGCACGAGUCCACUUGACGGUUAUAGUAUUACAUUUUUUUUCUAUGUGAUCUUCAGAAAUUUAUGUUCCAGAAUUGAAUUGGAAAUGGCUUGCUUUAGUUUUGUCAUAAAAUGUUUAUAUUGUGUAUUGUACAAGUGUCUCACUACAUGAUGUAAUUAGUUUUUAGAAUCCUGAAGUACAAUUAAGUUACAGAAACUAAUUUUUCUCUGAUUAAAAUUAGUGUCAUUUUG